GCAACGGAAAAUCACGUUUAAUUUAUUGAAUAUCGGUUCGAGUAUUACACUCCUCUAUCAAAAUAAUACUAAUGUAAUUAAUUAGUAAAAAUAGUGUUUAUACAAAUCUUAAAUCAACUAAUGUAUUUAUUAGCUAUACAAAUCAACCUAGAUAAUGGACUUUAUAUACAAUAUAAAACCCUUUCCCGUGUCACAAUCAGAGCGGAGCUUCACCGACGACUCGACAUCGAAUACCACAAAUCCUGUAAAAUCUGGACCCCCAACGGUCCAGCACAUAACACAUAAAAGAGAGUUAGAUAACAUACUCAAAAUAUACAAGUGUAAGUAAAUUGUACUUAAACACUUUUUCAUAAAAACAUGCAUAAUCAUACAUUAUACAUAUACAUCACCAUCAUUCAUGCA
rnacentral:lncRNA from 1 species